UACGAAGGGGGCUAGCGUUGCUCGGAAUUACUGGGCGUAAAGGGAGCGUAGGCGGGUUAUCAAGUUGGAGGUGAAAGCCCAGGGCUCAACCUUGGAAUUGCCUUCAAAACUGAUAGCCUAGAGUAUGAUAGAGGUAAGUGGAACUCCGAGUGUAGAGGUGAAAUUCGUAGAUAUUCGGAAGAACACCAGUGGCGAAGGCGACUUACUGGAUCAUGACUGACGCUGAGGCUCGACAGCGUGGGGAUCAAACAGG
rnacentral:rRNA from 1 species